rnacentral:miRNA from 1 species
GUUGCUACCUCUUCUUUACUUG